UCAGUCAAAACUUUCAACAAUGGAUCUCUUGGUUCCGGCAUCGAUGAAGAACGCAGCGAAAUGCGAUAACUAAUGUGAAUUGCAGAAUUCAGUGAAUCAUCGAGUCUUUGAACGCACAUUGCGCCCCCUGGUAUUCCGGGGGGCAUGCCUGUCCGAGCGU
rnacentral:rRNA from 1 species